UAAGCAUAUCAAUAAGCGGAGGAAAAGAAACUAACAAGGAUUCCCCUAGUAACUGCGAGUGAAGCGGGAAAAGCUCAAAUUUAAAAUCUGGCGGUUUUUUACCGUCCGAGUUGUAAUCUAGAGAAGUGUUACCUGUGCAGGACCAUGUACAAGUCUCCUGGAAUGGAGCAUCAUAGAGGGUGAGAAUCCCGUCUUUGACAUGGACUACCUGUACAUUAUGGUGUGCUCUCGAAGAGUCGAGUUGUUUGGGAAUGCAGCUCAAAAUGGGUGGUAAAUGCCAUCUAAAGCUAAAUAUUGGCGAGAGACCGAUAGCGAACAAGUACCGUGAGGGAAAGAUGAAAAGAACUUUGGAAAGAGAGUUAAACAGUACGUGAAAUUGCUGAAAGGGAAACGCUUGAAGUCAGUCAUGUUGGCAAGAAAUCAGCCUUUGCUUUUGCUUGGUGUACUUUCUUGUUGAUGGGUCAGCAUCAAUUUUGAUCAUUGGAUAAGGUCUUUGGGAAUGUGGCAUCCUUGGAUGUGUUAUAGCCCAUUGUCGCAUACGAUGAUUGAGAUUGAGGAACUCAGCACGCCGCAAGGCCGGGUCAUUGACCACGUUCGUGCUUAGGAUGCUGGCAUAAUGGCUUUAAUCGACCCGUCUUGAAACACGGACCAAGGAGUCUAACAUGCCUGCGAGUGUUUGGGUGGAAAACCCAUGCGCGUAAUGAAAGUGAAAGUUGAGAACCCUCUUCCAAGGGAGCAUUGACGCCCGGACCAGACCUUUUGUGACGGAUCCGCGGUAGAGCAUGUAUGUUGGGACCCGAAAGAUGGUGAACUAUGCCUGAAUAGGGUGAAGCCAGAGGAAACUCUGGUGGAGGCUCGUAGCGAUUCUGACGUGCAAAUCGAUCGUCAAAUUUGGGUAUAGGGGCGAAAGACUAAUCGAACCAUCUAGUAGCUGGUUC
rnacentral:rRNA from 1 species